rnacentral:rRNA from 1 species
CCUACGGGAGGCUGCAGUGAGGAAUAUUGGUCAAUGGCCGGAAGGCUGAACCAGCCAAGCCGCGUGAAGGACGAAGGUGCCAAGCAUUGUAAACUUCUUUUGUCAGGGGACAAAGUCAGGCUCGCGAGCCUGGACGAGGGUACCUGAAGAAAAAGCAUCGGCUAACUCCGUGCCAGCAGCCGCGGUAAUACGGAGGAUGCGAGCGUUAUCCGGAUUUAUUGGGUUUAAAGGGUGCGUAGGCUGUGAGGUAAGUCAGCGGGGAAAUGCCCCCGCUCAACGGGGUGAAGUGCCAUUGAUACUGCCUGGCUGGAAUGCGGAUGCAGUGUGAGGAAUGUGUGGUGUAGCGGUGAAAUGCAUAGAUAUCACACAGAACACCGAUUGCGAAGGCAUCUCACGGAUCCGCGAUUGACGCUGAGGCACGAAAGCGUGGGUAUCAAACAGGAUUAGAUACCCGGGUAGUC